rnacentral:rRNA from 1 species
AUUGAACGCUGGCGGCAGGCUUAACACAUGCAAGUCGAGCGGAGACUUCGGUCUUAGCGGCGAACGGGUGAGUAAUACCUAGGAAUCUGCCUAUUAGUGGGGGAUAACGAAUCGAAAGGUUCGCUAAUACCGCAUACGUCCUACGGGAGAAAGGGAGGGAUCUUCGGACCUCUCGCUAAUAGAUGAGCCUAGGCCGGAUUAGCUAGUUGGUAGGGUAAAGGCCUACCAAGGCGACGAUCUGUAGCUGGUCUGAGAGGAUGGCCAGCCACACUGGAACUGAGACACGGUCCAGACUCCUACGGGAGGCAGCAGUGGGGAAUAUUGGACAAUGGGGGCAACCCUGAUCCAGCCAUGCCGCGUGUGUGAAGAAGGCCUUCGGGUUGUAAAGCACUUUAAGCGAGGAGGAAGGUUUUAGUUUAAUACACUAAAGAAUUGACGUUACUCGCAGAAUAAGCACCGGCUAACUCUGUG